rnacentral:rRNA from 1 species
AGAGUUUGAUCCUGGCUCAGGAUGAACGCUAGCGGCAGGCCUAAUACAUGCAAGUCGAGGGGUAACAUGGAGUAGUAAUACUUUGAUGACGACCGGCGCACGGGUGCGUAACACGUAUAUAAUCUGCCCACAUCUGGGAAAUAGCCCGGAGAAAUUCGGAUUAAUGUCCCAUAACAUUAGAGAACAGCAUUGUUUUUUAAUUAAAGCUCAGGCGGAUGUGGAUGAAUAUGCGACUGAUUAGUUAGUUGGUGAGGUAACGGCUCACCAAGACAGCGAUCAGUAGGGGUACUGAGAGGUUAAACCCCCACACUGGUACUGAGACACGGACCAGACUCCUACGGGAGGCAGCAGUAAGGAAUAUUGGACAAUGGAGGCAACUCUGAUCCAGCCAUGCCGCGUGAAGGAUGAAGGCGCUACGCGUUGUAAACUUCUUUUCUCUUAGAAAAAACUCUUGGUUUCGUACCGAGACUGAUUGUACAAGAGGAAUAAGCAUCGGCUAACUUCGUGCCAGCAGCCGCGGUAAUACGAAGGAUGCAAGCGUUAUCCGGAUUUAUUGGGUUUAAAGGGUGCGUAGGCGGUCUUAUAAGUCAGUGGUGAAAUCUUGUCGCUUAACGACAAACGUGCCAUUGAUACUGUAGGACUUGAGUACAGAUGCCGUUGGCGGAAUGUGUCAUGUAGCGGUGAAAUGCAUAGAUAUGACACAGAACACCGAUUGCGAAGGCAGCUGACGAAACUGUAACUGACGCUGAUGCACGAAAGCGUGGGGAUCAAACAGGAUUAGAUACCCUGGUAGUCCACGCCCUAAACGAUGAUUACUCGCUGUCGGCGAUAUACCGUCGGUAGCUAAGCGAAAGCGUUAAGUAAUCCACCUGGGGAGUACGCUCGCAAGGGUGAAACUCAAAGGAAUUGACGGGGGCCCGCACAAGCGGAGGAGCAUGUGGUUUAAUUCGAUGGUACGCGAGGAACCUUACCCGGGCUUGAAAGUUAGUGACGAUCUCUGAAAGGAGAUUUUCCGUAAGGACACGAAACUAGGUGCUGCAUGGCUGUCGUCAGCUCGUGCCGUGAGGUGUU